rnacentral:tRNA from 1 species
GGGCCCGUGGGUUAGCUUGGUUAUGCUCGUGCGUUUGGGACGCACAGACCCCAGUUCGAAUCUGGGCGGGCCCA